rnacentral:rRNA from 1 species
UACGAAGGGGGCUAGCGUUGCUCGGAAUCACUGGGCGUAAAGCGCACGUAGGCGGCUUUCUAAGUCAGGGGUGAAAUCCUGAAGCUCAACUCCAGAACUGCCUUUGAUACUGGAAAGCUUGAGUUCGGGAGAGGUGAGUGGAACUGCGAGUGUAGAGGUGAAAUUCGUAGAUAUUCGCAAGAACACCAGUGGCGAAGGCGGCUCACUGGCCCGAUACUGACGCUGAGGUGCGAAAGCGUGGGGAGCAAACAGG